rnacentral:misc_RNA from 1 species
AAUUUAUAUUAGGAAAUAGGAUGUAUUUAAAGAAUUAAUUGAAAAGAAUUUAGUGAAGUGAUUUUUUUAUAGAGAUGUGGGUUGUAUUUGGAGAAGUCGAAUAGAAUGAUGUAUUUAGGGAUAGUAAUAGUGGAAGUUAUGGGGUUUGAAGAUGUAGGAGGAGAAUGUGAAUAGAAUUGGUAGAUAUUGUUGAUAUAGGAAAGAGAUU